rnacentral:misc_RNA from 1 species
GAUGAAGAACGCAGCGAAAUGCGAUAAGUAAUGUGAAUUGCAGAAUUCAGUGAAUUAUCGAAUCUUUGAACGCACAUUGCGCCCGCCAGUAUUCUGGCGGGCAUGCCUGUUCGAGCGUCAUUACAACCCUCAGGCCCCCGGGCCUGGCGUUGGGGAUCGGCGGAAGCCCCCUGCGGGCACAACGCCGUCCCCCAAAUACAGUGGCGGUCCCGCCGCAGCUUCCAUUGCGUAGUAGCUAACACCUCGCAACUGGAGAGCGGCGCGGCCACGCCGUAAAACACCCAACUUCUGAAUGUUGACCUCGAAUCAGGUAGGAAUACCCGCUGAACUUAAGCAUAUCAAUAAGCGGAGGA